CUAUGAAUCUUGGGCUUAUGUUCAAUCCUGCUUGUGGCUUCCAAAAUGAUCUGAUAAUUGGUCCGUGGCUUUGUUAUUUUAGAUUAUUUUUCGGUAUCUAAUCGUUCUAGGAAAGACACGGAUACCAAAUGGAGUCUAAAUUACUCUGAAUUUGAGUACCAUUGAUGGAUACGAUGACACCUCCCUCUCUUCUUUUCCACCUAAAUAUAAAACAAAGCCAACACCAUCACACCAACUGUUCCCUUCAUAGCUUGGAAGCUUUAAAACCCAGUGACAGAGAGAGAUGCACCUACUGGAAGCAAUCCAGUCUUCAAAUCAAAGGAAAAACUAUUGGAAACUUCAGAAUUCAUGGCUUUCGGCGGAAAGAUUCUGACUGUCGAGCCAAAGUAUUGAGAAAGAACGUUUGCAUCUGUGGAAGUGACAAGGCAAGUAUAUACCAUUCCUCUUUUCUUGGUGCUUUUUCAUUUGAUCAUACACAAAUAAAUGUGAAAUAAGAGAAAACGUGUUUGCUUUA